AGGAGCUGUCAGCACUGGAGCAGGGAUAGACUUUCUUCAGAGUGGGACAGAUGCAGAGACUGAGGAGAAACACACUGUGUUGCAUGGAAUUAGCAGGACAGAAGAGAAAGCACCAUCCACUGACCUGCAGGCUGCUGACAUGUUGCCAUGCUAAUGCUUGCAGGAUUGUAACAACCCCACAAGACAUCCUGGCAAUGCAUCCCACCACUACAGCCUGCUUGCCUUGCUCAGCAGAACAAACUGAUGGACAGUAACCACUUCUUGGAUGGCUCACUCCAGGCCAAGUCAGCUAAGCUCCACGCUGGCAUAGCUUGUCAUUUCCAGCAGACGAGAUCAUGUGAACUGCUGCUCAUUUCCACUAGAAAGAGGAUUGGACACAAACACAAGCAGCAAAAUCAGAAUUACCUGAUUCUCAAUUAAAUCCAUGUUUUUCUUUAAAAAAUGAUAAGUUACUUCAUUCUAAAUACCAUUUAAAAGACUGUCUUCUACUGAAGGAAAAAUAGUAAAAAAAAAAAAAAAAAAAAUUUAUUUGCUACCUACAUUUCAAGCAGCAGUGAUGCCAUUACUACGAUAACUGAAGGAUAUAAGCAACACAAAAUUUUGCACAAGGAAGCUGUACCUUCUUAGUGAUGUACUUAGAAGACAACACAAGGCCCUCUUCAGACUUGAAAUAUAAGUCGUGAGCUUCAAGCUGAUACCCAUCAGGAACAGCUGUUCUGAAUUAAACUUACCUAUCUUCAUUAAGUGCACGAUCCUAAUCUGUCUAGCACCUGUGCCUGAAACAGGUUUAACGUAGUUUUAAUAGUCUUUCCUUCUUUUCUUCUGUACUUUUUAAAAGAGGUGGAAA
rnacentral:lncRNA from 1 species